GGCGGUCAGCUUCUCUCACUGGUCUGCCGGCUAUGACGAUCACCUACAGCUGCGUUGCUAAUGGUCGAGCGGUCCUGGCGGAGCUAGCCUUGACCGGCGGCUCCUAUCAGGAAGCGGCUGCAAAGGUGCUUAGGCAAGCGCUUCUGAAAGCUGAG
rnacentral:lncRNA from 14 species